GGUUAAGCGACUAAGCGUACACGGUGGAUGCCCUGGCAGUCAGAGGCGAUGAAGGGCGUGCUAAUCUGCGAUAAGCGCCGGUAAGGUGAUAUGAACCGUUAUAACCGGCGAUACCCGAAUGGGGAAACCCAGUGUGACUCGUCACACUAUCAUUAACUGAAUCCAUAGGUUAAUGAGGCGAACCGGGGGAACUGAAACAUCUAAGUACCCCGAGGAAAAGAAAUCAACCGAGAUUCCCCCAGUAGCGGCGAGCGAACGGGGAGGAGCCCAGAGCCUGAAUCAGCAUGUGUGUUAGUGGAAGCGUCUGGAAAGGCGCGCGAUACAGGGUGACAGCCCCGUACACAAAAGCGCAUGUGCUGUGAGCUCGAUGAGUAGGGCGGGACACGUGGUAUCCUGUCUGAAUAUGGGGGAAUUAUCCUCCAAGGCUAAAUACUCCUGACUGACCGAUAGUGAACCAGUACCGUGAGGGAAAGGCGAAAAGAACCCCGGCGAGGGGAGUGAAAAAGAACCUGAAACCGUGUACGUACAAGCAGUGGGAGCACCCUUCGGGGUGUGACUGCGUACCUUUUGUAUAAUGGGUCAGCGACUUAUAUUCUGUAGCAAGGUUAACCGAAUAGGGGAGCCGCAGGGAAACCGAGUCUUAACCGGGCGUUAAGUUGCAGGGUAUAGACCCGAAACCCGGUGAUCUAGCCAUGGGCAGGUUGAAGGUUGGGUAACACUAACUGGAGGAAUCGAACCGACUAAUGUUGAAAAAUUAGCGGAUGACCUGUGGCUGGGGGUGAAAGGCCAAUCAAACCGGGAGAUAGCUGGUUCUCCCCGAAAGCUAUUUAGGUAGCGCCUCGUGAAUUCAUCUCCGGGGGUAGAGCACUGUUUCGGCUAGGGGGCCAUCCCGGCUUACCAACCCGAUGCAAACUGCGAAUACCGGAGAAUGUUAUCACGGGAGACACACGGCGGGUGCUAACGUCCGUCGUGAAGAGGGAAACAACCCAGACCGCCAGCUAAGGUCCCAAAGUCAUGGUUAAGUGGGAAACGAUGUGGGAAGGCCCAGACAGCCAGGAUGUUGGCUUAGAAGCAGCCAUCAUUUAAAGAAAGCGUAAUAGCUCACUGGUCGAGUCGGCCUGCGCGGAAGAUGUAACGGGGCUAAACCAUGCACCGAAGCUGCGGCAGCGAACGUAUCACCCAAGACAACUUUGCGGAGUUGACGAUUGACGGAGCGAAGCGACGUCAAAGCGUUCAUUAAAGUCGAGUUGGCUUAGGGAUACGUUCGUUGGGUAGGGGAGCGUUCUGUAAGCCUGUGAAGGUGGCCUGUGAGGGUUGCUGGAGGUAUCAGAAGUGCGAAUGCUGACAUAAGUAACGAUAAAGCGGGUGAAAAGCCCGCUCGCCGGAAGACCAAGGGUUCCUGUCCAACGUUAAUCGGGGCAGGGUGAGUCGACCCCUAAGGCGAGGCCGAAAGGCGUAGUCGAUGGGAAACGGGUUAAUAUUCCCGUACUUGGUGUUACUGCGAAGGGGGGACGGAGAAGGCUAUGUUGGCCGGGCGACGGUUGUCCCGGUUUAAGCGUGUAGGUGUGUGUUCCAGGUAAAUCCGGUUCACUUUAACACUGAGGCGUGAUGACGAGGCACUACGGUGCUGAAGCAACAAAUGCCCUGCUUCCAGGAAAAGCCUCUAAGCAUCAGGUAACACGAAAUCGUACCCCAAACCGACACAGGUGGUCAGGUAGAGAAUACCAAGGCGCUUGAGAGAACUCGGGUGAAGGAACUAGGCAAAAUGGUGCCGUAACUUCGGGAGAAGGCACGCUGACACGUAGGUGAAGUGAUUUACUCAUGGAGCUGAAGUCAGUCGAAGAUACCAGCUGGCUGCAACUGUUUAUUAAAAACACAGCACUGUGCAAACACGAAAGUGGACGUAUACGGUGUGACGCCUGCCCGGUGCCGGAAGGUUAAUUGAUGGGGUCAGCGCAAGCGAAGCUCCUGAUCGAAGCCCCGGUAAACGGCGGCCGUAACUAUAACGAUCCUAAGGUAGCGAAAUUCCUUGUCGGGUAAGUUCCGACCUGCACGAAUGGCGUAAUGAUGGCCAGGCUGUCUCCACCCGAGACUCAGUGAAAUUGAACUCGCUGUGAAGAUGCAGUGUACCCGCGGCAAGACGGAAAGACCCCGUGAACCUUUACUAUAGCUUGACACUGAACAUUGAGCCUUGAUGUGUAGGAUAGGUGGGAGGCUUUGAAGUGUGGACGCCAGUCUGCAUGGAGCCGACCUUGAAAUACCACCCUUUAAUGUUUGAUGUUCUAACGUGGAUCCGUAAUCCGGGUUGCGGACAGUGUCUGGUGGGUAGUUUGACUGGGGCGGUCUCCUCCUAAAGAGUAACGGAGGAGCACGAAGGUUGGCUAAUCCUGGUCGGACAUCAGGAGGUUAGUGCAAUGGCAUAAGCCAGCUUGACUGCGAGCGUGACGGCGCGAGCAGGUGCGAAAGCAGGUCAUAGUGAUCCGGUGGUUCUGAAUGGAAGGGCCAUCGCUCAACGGAUAAAAGGUACUCCGGGGAUAACAGGCUGAUACCGCCCAAGAGUUCAUAUCGACGGCGGUGUUUGGCACCUCGAUGUCGGCUCAUCACAUCCUGGGGCUGAAGUAGGUGCCAAGGGUAUGGCUGUUCGCCAUUUAAAGUGGUACGCGAGCUGGGUUUAGAACGUCGUGAGACAGUUCGGUCCCUAUCUGCCGUGGGCGCUGGAGAACUGAGGGGGGCUGCUCCUAGUACGAGAGGACCGGAGUGGACGCAUCACUGGUGUUCGGGUUGUCAUGCCAAUGGCACUGCCCGGUAGCUAAAUGCGGAAGAGAUAAGUGCUGAAAGCAUCUAAGCACGAAACUUGCCCCGAGAUGAGUUCUCCCUGAGACUUAGAGUCUCCUGAAGGAACGUUGAAGACGACGACGUUGAUAGGCCGGGUGUGUAAGCGCAGCGAUGCGUUGAGCUAACCGGUACUAAUGAACCGUGAGGCUUAACCUU
rnacentral:rRNA from 1 species